UACGUAGGCAGCAAGCGUUGUUCGGAGUUACUGGGCGUAAAGGGUGUGUAGGCGGUUGUUUAAGUUUGGUGUGAAAUCUCCCGGCUCAACCGGGAGGGUGCGCCGAAUACUGAAUGACUAGAGUGCGGGAGAGGAAAGUGGAAUUCCUGGUGUAGCGGUGAAAUGCGCAGAUAUCAGGAAGAACACCGGUGGCGAAGGCGGAUCUCUGGGCCUUACCUGACGCUGAGGCGCGAAAGCUAGGGGAGCGAACAGG
rnacentral:rRNA from 1 species